CCCUUAGAUGUCCUGGGCUGCACGCGCGCUACACUGAUGUGUCCAGUAAGCACCUAACCUCUUCCGAAAGGAACGGGUAACCUUUGCAAAGCACAUCGUGAUGGGGAUAGAUUAGUGCAAUUAUUAGUCUUGAACGAGGAAUUCCUAGUAAGCACAAGUCAUCAGCUUGUGUUGAUUACGUCCCUGCCCUUUGUACACACCGCCCGUCGCUCCUACCGAUUGAAUGUUCCGGUGAGCUCUUCGGACUGCGCGGUCUGCAGUUUCUGCGUUCCGUGCGGAAAGUUGCGCAAACCUUAACAUUUAGAGGAAGGAGAAGUCGUAACA
rnacentral:rRNA from 1 species